rnacentral:rRNA from 1 species
AUUGAACGCUGGCGGCAGGCCUAACACAUGCAAGUCGAGCGAGCGGCGGACGGGUGAGUAAUGUCUGGGAAACUGCCUGAUGGAGGGGGAUAACUACUGGAAACGGUAGCUAAUGACGCAUACCAUCAGAUGUGCCCAGAUGGGAUUGGCUAGUGGGUGGGGUACCGGCUCACCGAGGCGACGAUCCCUAGCUGGUCUGAGAGGAUGACCAGCCCCACUGGAACUGAGACACGGUCCAGACUCCUACGGGAGGCAUCAGUGGGGAAUAUUGCACAAUGGGCGCAAGCCUGAUGCAGCCAUGCCGCGUGGGUGAAGAAGGCCUUCGGGUUGUAAAGCCCUUCCAGCUGGGAGGCGUUACCCGCCGAAGAAGCACCGGCUAACUCCGUGCCAGCAGCCGCGGUAAUAC